rnacentral:lncRNA from 1 species
AGGACAGGAUCAGGGGAGGAGGGCCUGAGGGGCUUAUGAGGAGGUGCCAAGCAGCUGUUGCAGCUUAAAGACUGGAGCAAGAAUUCUUGAAGAGCCCAUGUGGCUGGGCAAAUACCUGGGAUUUGUCGAGAAAUUCCACCUUCAAAAGUCCCUCGUCUUCAACAUAGCUGACCAGUGUCCCCUCAAUGAGGCCACUGCUUGAUGCUUCCAUGAGUCUCUCCACCUUCUACUGCUUCAGCCUCCUUCCAUUUUCUCACCAUGGCCACCAGCUCAGGAAGCCCCUCUGUCCCUCCUAGGGGCCUGGAGCCCUGAGCCUGGAGCUGACCCUGGCCAGCUUUGACCUCACCCACUUUCUCUCUGUGGUAAUCAACCCCAUCAAACACAAAAAUAGACACCCAAGGCUCCCAGCCUGGUCUAUGGCUGAAGGAAUAUUCUGGAGGCUUAUGACCUAUGAGCUUGAAAGAAGGUGAGCAAACCUGUGUUCAGAAAACGCCCCAUUCUUGCACACAAAAAUGUUUCUUGGGGGAUGAGGAGUGGCCCAGGGGCGGGAUGCUUGCCCAACACACUCAAGACCAUCUUUGGUAGCAAGUAAAAAGAGUGAUUUGAAU